ACACUCCUAAGGUAUUAAUGCAACCCUAGAAACCUUGGAUCUAUUUUUGACUAAGAUACAUGCAAAAUUGAUUUUCCAAGGUUCAUAAUCCUAUCUAGCAUACAUGGGGAACUUUUAGACAUAAAAGUUAGCUAGAAAACAUACCUUGUAAUAGUUUGGAUUCCUUGAAAACCUUUUGAGCCUAGCACUCCAAGUGUAAUGCCUCAAAUGUCUCACACAACACCAAAUGCUAUUGGAAUGACUUGAGAGAAAAUGUAUAACACUUCUAAAAUCAGCUUGCCCUCUCUAGUCUUUCUAGUGGCCGAUUUUGGUGGGCUUUAUGUUACUUAUAUAGUGUGUUACAAUUAGGGUUACACCAUGUAAACCCUAAUGUGACAUGACUCUUCAUUUCCAUGAUCCAUGGGUUUACACCUCCAUGGAGCAUCCUAUGGGUCUUAGCCCAACUUGAUAAUCCAUGGAGCAUUUAUCCCACUAUCCAAGUAUGGAUGAUUUAUACAAUCAAACCAUAUAUUUUAAUUAGUCACCUUUUUUAUCACUUAAUUAAUUCUCGAUCUAUACUAAUUAAAUAAUAUUAUUAAUAUAUUAGAACUUAUAAUAUAUUAAUAAACCAUAAGUGUUAUUUCUCUCAUUUUAGUCUAUCCAAAUGCAUGAUGCCAUGCAACCCAAAUGGACCAUGCCAAACCGAGUCAAGUACAUACCAGAAAUAGUUAUGAACUUAGACACCUAAUCCAACAGUCUCCCACUUGGAUAAGUCUAACAACUAUAACUGCAAGAAUGACUUCAGGAACCAAUCAGCAAUCGUAGCUCUUUCAAGGUCUCGCGGAACUAAGAUGAUGAUGAUACGCCAUUUAAGAUAAAUGAUCAUAUAAUCCUCUGUUCCAGAUAUCAGCCGGAAAAUACAUGGAAAAAUGUCUUACUUAUUAUCCAGUAGUUUGUUUCUCGAUUUCCGAUUUGUUUGACAAAGAACUUAAUCGAACACAUCAAUUUAGUUCUGACUAGGCCCAUUACAUAGGUCAAAACAAAAUCAUCAAGGCGCCCGUAUAUCACUUCUAAUCCAAGAAUGAACAGAUAAACUUUGACUCAUAUGCUUGUUCUACUACUUGUUGAAUUAUACACAAAGGCACGUUUUAUAACAUCGAGUUACCAAUACGUUUUCGUAUAAUCAAUGCAUAACAAACUCAUAGGCAACAACUCAUAUCUCUAUGUUUGAAGAUUUAUAUGAUAUUACCGUCUCACGAUCAUUCGAGAUAAAUUCCAUGAAGUGAUACCAGUGAGCAUGGGUUGAAUCCAAUACUCAGAACUUAUGAGCACUCAUGAGUGUCGUAGUCAUGUCCAACAUCUUAGACCUCUACAACCAACUCAUGACAAUCUUGAUUCAUACCUACUUCCAACAUAGUAGUCCUCAUAGGACUUUUGGAGCUCGGAUGUCAUAGUGGCCAACUUGAUGCAUGCCACUUUGGUAGCAUCUCUUUCAUGUGCCUCAUAUUCAGCGACCUCCUCAGGAGAAGCAGACGGCUCGGGUACCUUAAGCUCCUUGUCGAGGAGAUAUUCUUUGUCCUUAUACCGAGUAACCAUCCUGAUGUUUCUGAUCCAAUCCAUAAAGUGGGAUCCAUCAAAGAUGACUCUCCUACAAAGGUUCAUAAGAGAGAAAGAGCUGGUAGGGUUUGAGUCAGAAGAAGCAUUAUUGGAAGACAUCUAAAAGGAAGACAAGUUUGGAUUAGAUAUAAAGAUAGUCCUUAAUAAAACACCCAAAUGUAAUAUUAAGGUUAGGAUCCAAUCACACUAUAUUAAAACUUAGAAGAAGGAUGUCGUAAUCUAAGUUAUAACAUAUUUGAAAUGUAGGUGAAUGACGAUUCACCAAUUUCCACCAUGAAAAUGAAAUAUAAAUUAUUAGGUUUUUAGAAACUCCUAGAUUCUUUUGAGAUUCAUUGAACUUUUCAAUGGCAUGUUUCAAUCUCGAGUGUGUCCUUCAGGUUUUGUGACUGGGAUGCCGAGGAUCACAAAACAAGGUGUGAAUUAACCAUGCAAUUUACUUGGUACCCUUAAUGUUUUUCAGUCAAUUGAUGUGCCGGUUAACCACACGCGCUCCACCGACCUAUGAAAAACCUUAAAUCACCAUUUGCCUACCUUGUUAGGUCCAAGUUAGUGUGCUGGUUAACCACACACGCUCCACUAACGACUUAAUCAAGGUGCAAAGUGUAAUUUCAUGGGUUAGCACCUCAUUCACAUUUUCCUAAAGUAACUAAGAUUGGGAAUUUAUAAAAACAUUUAGUUACUUUAGUAUCAUUAUACUUAUAAUGAGGUUUUUAAAGUCGUUGUCCUACCCGUUUGGCUAACGACCCUCCACCAAUCAAGGAAGCGGUUGGUGAGAGUGGAAACUCAUUAAGCUACCAUUUUAUAGGCAACAACCUUAUACCCCCUUAUAGACCGACUUCGUGAAUGAGGCCUACUAACGGUAAAAAGACUUGAUCUUAUAUAUAUAUAUAUANNNNNNNNNNNNNNNNNNNNNNNNNNNNNNNNNNNNNNNNNNNNNNAACUUAUAAUAUUAUAGAGUAUAAGGGUUGAAUUUUAACUUUUAAAAUUCUAGGGGUUGGAACUAAUGUUUACUAGAUGACUUUACAUGUUCCAAAACUUGAGAGCAAGUUUUGUAACUUUACAAAACUUUUCAAUUCAUAACUUAUGAGUUAUUGCUUAUUAAAAAUGAAGACUCUUCAUUUUUUGUAACUUAUGUGUUCUUUUAAUGGAUUUAUUACAAAGUGACUUUUGGUUAUCCAUAACUUGAGGACAAGUUAUGGACUCCAUUAAAACACAUCAUGAUCAUGAAUUAACUAGCAAUCAAUAGCACAUAAUUCCUAUGAUCAUGCAAGAACUCAUAAGAACAUGAAUAUUCAUAUCAAAAUUUCAAGAACAUAUGAACACAUACAAACAUGGAAUUUUGAUAUUAGCCAUUGUAAAUGGAUUAGAACAACGAUUACACCAUCUAAAACAAGUUUUAAUACACCAAAACAGUUUCGGGUAAUGUUUCUAGUCCAUUUCCAGUAGCAAAAAUUGAAAAUCUGCACUCUGCUUGGCCAACUUGUCGAGUGUAGGAACUGACUCGCCGAGUUGGUUGAAGAUACGUUUGGACUCGUCGAGUCCCCCCAUGGACUCAGCAAGUCCCCUGUGCAGACAACAAGAAUUUUGACUUUUUCAGCUAUUUUGCAUCAAGUAUCAAACAAACAAGCCUAGGCUCUGAUACCACUGAAGGGUUUUGAGCAUUCUAACACUCCUAAGGUCUUCAUGCAACCCUAGAAACCUUGGAUCUAUGUUUGACUAAGAUACAUGCAAAAUUGAUUUUCCAAUGUUCAUAAUCCUAUCUAGCAUACAUGGGGAACUUUUAGACAUAAAAGUUAGCUAGAAAACACACCUUGUAGUAGUUUGGAUUCCUUGAAAACCUUUUGAGCCUAGCACUCCAAGUGUAAUGCCUCAAAUGUCUCACACAACACCAAAUGCUAUUGGAAUGACUUGAGAGAAAAU
rnacentral:lncRNA from 1 species